UGGCCCGGGGCGCUUGGCAAGGCCGUGCUUCCCAAGUGGCCCGGAGGCCUGGGGCGGGACAGGAGCAGGCUUCCUUCUGACCGUGACCGUGUGCUUCCACGUCCGACGGGCUCCGAGGUAGUUGAGAGCCGGUUUGUUCCCUUCCCCUGCCCUCUGUCGUCACCUUUAAUGCUUAGUUCCUUCGUUUGCAAAGUCCCGACACCUUGGGCGUCACAGAGGCGAAAGUAAAAAGCCGCCUUUGAGCCUCCUUAGAUGUCUGGAGGCUGGACGCACAGGCCAGACAGUCGGGCCCAUCGGGCCACAAGGCUUCCGCAGGGGGCGAGGGCCCUGGACCAACUUUGACUUGGCCUUCCGCGACCCGUGCUGACGUCACGGUCCCAGAACCCAGCGGAGGAGGUAACAAGUUCGAAUUUUGUAUCUCUUCAUAGUUAUUCCCGUCUGUAACAGAUGUUGAAGUCCUUGGACCGCGUCACCAUCAGAUUCUCCAGCUCGGACUUUUCCAUUGCCUUUGAGGCUAACAUUCUGUUACUCUCAUUUUUGAUUUCUACUCUUCUCCUUCAGAGUAAAGAAUAUUCGUUUAAAUGAAAUGUGAAGCUAUCUCCUUAUUCCCUUUCUGAUCCCUACCGUGCGUUUUGGCGUCAGAAG